rnacentral:rRNA from 1 species
AACGAACGCUGGCGGCAUGCCUAACACAUGCAAGUCGAACGAGACCUUCGGGUCUAGUGGCGCACGGGUGCGUAACGCGUGGGAACCUGCCCUUAGGUUCGGAAUAACUCCCCGAAAGGGGUGCUAAUACCGGAUAAUGUCUUCGGACCAAAGAUUUAUCGCCUUUGGUUGGGCCCGCGUUGGAUUCGCUAGUUGGUAGGGUAAAAGCCUACCAAGGCGACGAUCCAUAGCUGGUCUGAGAGGAUGAUCAGCCACACUGGGACUGAGACACGGCCCAGACUCCUACGGGAGGCAGCAGUGGGGAAUAUUGGACAAUGGGCGAAAGCCUGAUCCAGCAAUGCCGCGUGAGUGAUGAAGGCCUUAGGGUUGUAAAGCUCUUUUACCCGGGAUGAUAAUGACAGUACCGGGAGAAUAAGCUCCGGCUAACUCCGUG